AGAAUCAACGCUGGCGGCGUGCCUAACACAUGCAAGUCGAACGAGAAAGUGGAGCAAUCCAUGAGUAAAGUGGCGCACGGGUGAGUAACACGUGACUAACCUACCCUUGAGUGGGGAAUAACUUCGGGAAACCGAGGCUAAUACCGCAUAACACCUACGGGUCAAAGGAGCAAUUCGCUUAAGGAGGGGGUCGCGGCAGAUUAGUUAGUUGGCGGGGUAAUGGCCCACCAAGACGGUGAUCUGUAUCCGGCCUGAGAGGGCGCACGGACACACUGGAACUGAAACACGGUCCAGACUCCUACGGGAGGCAGCAGUGGGGAAUUUUGCGCAAUGGGGGAAACCCUGACGCAGCAACGCCGCGUGGAGGAUGAAGUCCCUUGGGACGUAAACUCCUUUCGAUCGGGACGAUUAUGACGGUACCGGAAGAAGAAGCCCCGGCUAACUUCGUGCCAGCAGCCGC
rnacentral:rRNA from 1 species